UAACCCUGCACCAGGUCACUUUCAUUAGAAAUGUGUCCACAAAGACAGAGUUCCAACUUACACUCCAGCAAAAAAGGCAACAAUCCGUUGAAAGUGAUUAAAGCCAAUGAUGGCAACGAGUUCUGGACGAUCGCAGCUAGCCGUGGUGAAGAAUUGAUGAGCCUGGCGAGCCAAGGCAUGAUCUUCUUAAUCUCCUCAUAGGACAUCAAUGUUGCCAAGGAAGAUACCGGCACUGUAUUGUCGAUCAAGACGCCCAUUAUGCCCAUGACGAUGAAGUCACGGAUUUGGGACUCUCUAAUGCUCAUUGAGACGUGCUGCCAUACGAUAUCGCGAGGUUCGGGAGCCGGUGUAGUGACUGCCUGGGAAUGAUGAGGGUAAUGCGUUACUUGACAUGCAACUUGCUACAGCUCGCCAUGAGUCACUUAUGAUUUGAAUAAAUUGGAGAGACUGAUGACCAACUUACAGCAUCGCGGGCAUCUUCAAACGUCACAAAGGCGGCAUGCGUAGCACCAAACCUCCCGGUUUUCCUCAUCUCUUUGACUUCUUCAUCAGCAGCCUUGAACUUCUUCUCCCAAUGCUCAAUCGCGUCGACUUUGGUUCCAAACCAACGGGGUCGGAAG
rnacentral:sRNA from 1 species